rnacentral:rRNA from 1 species
GAUGAACGCUAGCUACAGGCUUAACACAUGCAAGUCGAGGGGAAACGACAUCGAAAGCUUGCUUUUGGUGGGCGUCGACCGGCGCACGGGUGAGUAACGCGUAUCCAACCUGCCCACCACUUGGGGAUAACCUUGCGAAAGUAAGACUAAUACCCAAUGAUAUCCCACGAAGGCAUCCGAAUGGGAUUAAAGAUUUAUCGGUGAUGGAUGGGGAUGCGUCUGAUUAGCUUGUUGGCGGGGUAACGGCCCACCAAGGCAACGAUCAGUAGGGGUUCUGAGAGGAAGGUCCCCCACAUUGGAACUGAGACACGGUCCAAACUCCUACGGGAGGCAGCAGUGAGGAAUAUUGGUCAAUGGGCGAGAGCCUGAACCAGCCAAGUAGCGUGCAGGAUGACGGCCCUAUGGGUUGUAAACUGCUUUUAUAAGGGAAUAAAGUGGGUCUCGUGAGACUUUUUGCAUGUACCUUAUGAAUAAGGACCGGCUAAUUCCGUG